GCAGUCGAACGCAGUAGCAAUACUGAGUGGCAAACGGGUGAGUAUAAUGUGGGUAUCUGCCUUUUGGUUUGGAACAACAUGAGGAAACUUGUGCUAAUACCGGAUAAGCCUUCACAGGGAAAGUUUUAUACGCCGAAAGAUGAGCCCGCACUUGAUUAGUUUGUUGGUGAGGUAAUGGCUCACCAAGACAAUUAUCAAUAGCUGGUCUGAGAGGACGAUCAGCCACACUGGGACUGAGACACGGCCCAGACUCCUACGGGAGGCAGCAGUAAGGAAUCUUGCACAAUGGGGGAAACCCUGAUGCAGCGAUGCCGCGUGAGUGAAGAAGGCCCUUGGGUUGUAAAACUCUUUCGUCGGGGAAGAAAAUGACUGUACCCGAAUAAGAAGGUCCGGCUAACUUCGUGCCAGCAGCCGCGGUAAUACGAAGGGACCUAGCGUAGUUCGGAAUUACUGGGCUUAAAGAGCUCGUAGGUGGUUAAAAAAGUUGAUGGUGAAAUCCCAAGGCUCAACCUUGGAACUGCCAUCAAAACUUUUUAGCUAGAGUGUGAUAGAGGAAAGUGGAAUUUCUAGUGUAGAGGUGAAAUUCGUAGAUAUUAGAAAGAACACCAAAUGCGAAGGCAACUUUCUGGGUCACUACUGACACUGAGGAGCGAAAGCAUGGGUAGCGAAGAGGAUUAGAUACCCUCGUAGUCCAUGCCGUAAACGAUGUGUGCUAGACGUUGGAAAUAUAUUUUUCAGUGUCGCAGCGAAAGCAUUAAGCACACCGCCUGGGGAGUACGACCGCAAGGU
rnacentral:rRNA from 1 species